GUCCUGCCACGGUGAGAUUCAAGCGUAACUUUUUUUUAAGGAUGGCCUGUUCAGCCAAUCGCGUUGAGCUUUUGAUCCACCAAUCAAAACGCUCCUUACUGAAGUGACUCGAGAAGCUCGACGCUGCACAGUUCUGUGCAGUGUGCCUGCAUCGGUUCAAAAACAGAGAGGGACGCAAGAGCACACUCAACAAGAGCUGAUAGAAAAGUCUAAGCAAGAGAUUUUCCUGUAGUCAUGCAGUCUCAAGUUUCAGUUGUGCAGGAUGGCUAAUGAGUGGAGUGAUGAAUUUUCUGGUAGAGUGAUGCAGUUUCUCAGUGGGGUCGUUGGACUGGUGGAGUUGCUGGAGCUGGUGGGGUGGUUUGAUGAUUAGCC